rnacentral:rRNA from 1 species
CGAUGAUACGCGAGGAACCUUACCUGGGCUCGAACGUAAGAUGACUGUAGGUGAAAGCUUACAUCUCUUCGGAGCAUUUUACGAGGUGCUGCAUGGUUGUCGUCAGCUCGUGCCGUGAGGUGUCGGGUUAAGUCCCAUAACGAGCGCAACCCUACCUUUAGUUGCCAUCAGGUAAUGCUGGGGACUCUAAAGGAACUGCCUACGCAAGUAGUGAGGAAGCGGGGAUGACGUCAAAUCAGCACGGCCCUUACGUCCAGGGCUACACACGUGCUACAAUGGCCGAUACAGAGGGCAGCUACCUGGUGACAGGAUGCAAAUCUCCAAAGUCGGUCUCAGUUCGGAUCGGAGUCUGCAACCCGACUCCGUGAAGUUGGAUUCGCUAGUAAUCGCGCAUCAGCCAUGGCGCGGUGAAUACGUUCCCGGACCUU